rnacentral:lncRNA from 1 species
GAAAUAAUGGGAGCAUGAACUUUGCAGAAAAGAUAAAAAUGGAAUGAAGACAGAACUCUGUGAGAGAAAGAACAUAGUAACUAUUCUAAUGAUGUUGGGAUCCUCAGUCUUCCAGAGGAUGGCAAUGGGAUUUGCUAAUACAGGAUGGGAGAGAGAAUGAUGUGUGAGUGUCUGUGAUGAAGAUGUCACACUUACAGCAGAAACUGAGAAACAGUGGAUAACUUCUGAAAUCUUUGGAAUUUAAGAAAGAAGUGAUUAUGCUGUUGAAAUCGUGAAGAUUUUACAGACUGCCUCCCAGAUUCACUGCCAGCAUCAGCAUGCUUGACUAGGAGAGUCAGGAGGGCCCUGCCAAGUCUGAUGCACUAUCUCUACCAUGACACCCUGAGGAGGAACUUGGAUUUCAAAUUAGUGAGCAGUCGGUACAAUGUAUUUCACUAUGCCAUGUUCAACAGAAAGGAAUACGAGCUUGAAAUACAUUCACAGAGUCUGUCAUCUUUUCCUAUCUCUCCAACAAAGAGAAGAGCUUUCUUUCUAGUUUGGACUGCCAAUGUCUUCCCUUCCACCUCGGGACUCAUUCUCUUGCAAUUUGGCACUGCCAACCCAGCUGGACAUUUGAGAGACAAUAAUGUCUGUGUCGGACUUUGCCUGUGCAACCCCAGCUCCAGUGAAGGGGCAGAGCUGUGUUUGUGACUCAGACUCCUUGGCUUCAGCUGACCCAUCAUCCAGUUCCCUGUCUUCUGCUAGCAGUACCCUGAUUUUGCUCUGUGGAAUCAUCCUCUUCCUGACUUUCAGCUCAUGUGCUUCUGAAUUUAAAGAUUGUCCUGGGAUGAUGGACCCCACAGAAGUUAUAACAAGAAGAGGACAAGAGUGACCAUUAAGUAUGAACUUCUUUAGGAGAAUAUAACAGGUUUGGAAGAUCAAGGAAUGAAGUGGACUGGCUCUGGAACUAUCCUAAAGAGAAAUGUCAUGCCACGAGAUCCCAGGGUGUAUUCCAUGUCCUCAAUGCCGGAUAGAACAAAAAGGCACCAACGGUCGUGUUACUGCUUGUGGUGGCUCCCCUUAAAAACUCCAGGUGCUGGGAGAAUCAAACAGUUUAAUAUAUGUAAAAUGCUUAGCCUAGCCUUUCGUCUUGCUCAAUUGCCACUGCCAUGAGAGGAGCUUCCACUGAGAAGCUACUAUCCCCCAAGUCUGGUUCUCAGAAUAUGCACAUGUGGAAGAGAAGAAAGCCUGACUUUUAGCAAGAAGCCUAUUCCUGUGGUAUGUGCAACCUCAGCAGAGCUUUUCAUUAAAGUCAAGUCCAGUCCAAAUCAGCUGAUCCUUGAGUGACCUGCAUAUAUCUGAGAAAUAUUAUUGUUGUAUGCCACUGAUAGAUAUUUUGUGAUUGAUUAUCUAUCUGUCACAUAACAAAAGCUGACUGACAUACAUGUAGUUUCAGGAUUAUCAAAAAGGCAUUAUCUUUUCAAAAAUGCUAGAAAUAAUUCCAAAGAUAAUUGUUUGUGCCAGAUGACAUAAUUGUAUAUACAUUGUAGAUGGAAUUAUCAAGAUUACUUUUAAUGCCAACGACAUUUAGGAAUGCUAAUUAACUUAUGAAACACCAUCACAUAUCAUUAAUAAAGGAAAUUUAUAUUUUGUGUUCCCUAAAUGGCACUAUAGGAAAUGUAACAUAUGCUCAUUAAGUUUGCGGUUAUGAUUUUAAUCAUUGAAAUGAAGUCAAUGAAAUUGUAUAACUGAAAAAUUCCACCAAAUAACUAUAAAUUUCACUUUUAGAUGGAUAUUAGAAUUUAUAAAAUAUGUCUAGUGACUUAAUUGUAUACUAUUUAACAAUUACAAGACUAUUAUAACAUAUUUAAUUAACAGAAUUGAAACAAGUAUUUGUUGAAAAACAAAGAACAUUUUAAACAA